GAAGGAACACCUUCCUGUGAGCAACUGCAGAAAGGCAACAGUCUAGUGCACGUGGCUAAGGAAAUCAUCGGAUCCAAGCAUUUGGAUGCAGGUUCUCUCUCUCCCAGCCCUGGGACAGGAGGCUGCUCUGGCGGAGAUGGGACAGAAGAGAUGAAAUUUUAAAUUGCUUCUGCUCCACUUCUAUCCCAUUUUAGUAGACCAGGAGAAGACACAGCAUCACUGACCCCAGCCAACAGCUCUCAACGCUUCAGCAGAUUUUCUCCACUGGAUCACUCACUUUUAGCAUUC